AGGAGCAAGAGCCCUAGUGGCGGGGCCAGCUCUGGAAACCUGGAUUCAGCCCCCGCAGUAACUCCGGAGCGUCUGCAGGGCCUGAGGCUCCGGGGCGGG
rnacentral:pre_miRNA from 1 species